UCUCGAUCCCACAUAUAAAUAGCACGGUGAUUUCAAAUAAGACAGUAACAUUACAACACUUGCCGUCAGUAUUUGAAUAUAUUGAUUAAGAAGGUUGUCAGCAAGAUGAAAAGGACAAGUAUGCAGUUCAACAUUCAAAAUGUGGAUAAGCUGAGGUUCAAGAAGGAUUGAAAUUCACCACCUAGAAUAAAUGGAGAAAACAUAGAAACAAGACCAGAAUAAAUUCAAAGACAAAAGUUGGAUCAGUUAUUUUUUUCAUCACUCAGUCAAUGAUUGGAAGUUCUUUUAAAUACA